GACGAACGCUGGCGGCGUGCUUAACACAUGCAAGUGGAGCGACGAACCAGGCUUCGGCCUGGGGCAAAGCCGCGAACGGGUGAGUAACACGUGGGUAACCUGCCUCGAAGACCGGGACAACCCGAGGAAACUCGGGCUAAUACCGGAUGUGGUCGCCGUCCUCAAGGACGGCGAGCAAAGGAAGCUUCGGCCUCCGCUGCGUGAGGGGCCCGCGGCCCAUUAGCUUGUUGGUGAGGGAACGGCUCGCCAAGGCUUUGACGGGUAGCUGGUCUGAGAGGACGACCAGCCACACUGGGACUGAGACACGGCCCAGACACCUACGGGUGGCAGCAGUCGAGAAUUUUUGACAAUGGGGGAAACCCUGAUCGAGCGACGCCGCGUGGAGGAUGAAGGUCUUCGGAUUGUAAACUCCUGUCAUUGGGGAACAAUGCGUGACGGUUAACUGCCGUCGCGUUGAUAGUACCCGAAGAGGAAGAGACGGCUAACUCUGUGCCAGCCGCCGCGGUAAUAC
rnacentral:rRNA from 1 species